GNCGUAAGGGUGCGUAACACGUAUGCAAUCUGCCCUCAACAGGAGGAUAGCUCCCCGAAAAGGGAAUUAACACUCCAUAAGAUUGUGGUGUGGCAUCACACAGCAAUUAAAACUACGGUGGUUGAGGACGAGCAUGCGCAUGAUUAGUUAGUUGGCGGGGUAACGGCCCACCAAGACGAUGAUCAUUAGGGGAACUGAGAGGUUGAUCCCCCACACUGGCACUGAGAUACGGGCCAGACUCCUACGGGAGGCAGCAGUUAGGGAAUAUUGGACAAUGGGUGCUAGCCUGAUCCAGCCAUGCCGCGUGCA
rnacentral:rRNA from 1 species